ensembl:snoRNA
GUUAUCCUUGUGCUUGCCACUGGCUGUGUUCUCACACUGACUAUAUAGAAAGAAGAGGUAGAAUAAACCUAUCCCAUGUAUACCUCGGCCUAGGCCAUUGUGCCUGCUCUAUUGUGAAUUGGGAGACUUGG